UGGCUGCCCCCGGGGCUACACAGCAGCUUUGUUUAUAUAAACUAUAGUAGUCUUUCUGAAGCAAACACAAACUUUUACCUUUGCAGGGCUUUGCUACACUUUACAUUUUUGGUCUUACUGUCCCUUUAAGUCUUUCAGGGCUCAGUGUCCUUCUAUGGAAAGUGGUGGCAGUUCAGUUCCCACCCAGCCAAGCUGGUAGCCUAUUGGUCUGUGUGUGGGUCCUGCCAAGUUCUAGGGUUGCCACCUCACCCCUUUAAUACUGGCCACAUAUUGAAUCCACAUGUUGCAUGGCUAAUUAGCAAUUCAUAUAGAUGCAUGCUGCAUGGCUGUACAUGAACCAGUUCAGUCUGCAGCAUGCAUCUCAAUGAUUUGUUAAUUAGCCAUGCAAGGCGUGGAUUCAAUAUGUGGCCGGUAUUAAAGAGUGGUCAGGGCUUUAUUUGGCCGCAUCUAAUUGUGAGCGGUGCCCUUUAAACAUAUAGUUGAUGGCUGCAGGGAAUUAUAAUCCAUCCUGCUAUACGGCUAAGGGGGAGGCUGGUGUGUGUGACCUUCACUUUCAGCCACUAAUCUCAGGUCACAGGCCUGAUAAAUCCCAACGGCAUCCGCCAAACAGCGAAUGGGGCAUGAGAAGGAUGUGAGGGAUUUGAGAGUCAGUUCAGCAAAAGCCCCGGAGCCUUGAGAUUCAGUUGGAUUUCCUAAUGAAACAAUAAGCAGCACAAGGUCAGGUACCCAUCCCUGGGAGGGAAAUGCACGAGCACCAUGGUACUACUCCUCCUCCUCCUCCUUCUAUUGUAUAAUUAAAGUCACAAACUCACCUCUGGGUUGGAUCUUGGAGGCUUGUAGAACUCUAAAUUUGGAUGCAGGGCCGGAAUAUUCUUGUGCGCCAGAGCUUUGCCGAGCUCACUCCAACUACUGUAUCCUGG